rnacentral:rRNA from 1 species
AGCUUCGGCGGGCCCGCCGUUUCGACGGCCGCCGGGGAGGCCUUGCGCCCCCGGGCCCGCGCCCGCCGAAGACCCCAACAUGAACGCUGUUCUGAAAGUAUGCAGUCUGAGUUGAUUAUCGUAAUCAGUUAAAACUUUCAACAACGGAUCUCUUGGUUCCGGCAUCGAUGAAGAACGCAGCGAAAUGCGAUAAGUAAUGUGAAUUGCAGAAUUCAGUGAAUCAUCGAGUCUUUGAACGCACAUUGCGCCCCCUGGUAUUCCGGGGGGCAUGCCUGUCCGAGCGUCAUUGCUGCCCUCAAGCACGGCUUGUGUGUUGGGCCCCCGUCCCCCUCUCCCGGGGGACGGGCCCGAAAGGCAGCGGCGGCACCGCGUCCGGUCCUCGAGCGUAUGGGGCUUUGUCACCUGCUCUGUAGGCCCGGCCGGCGCCAGCCGACACCCAACUUUAUUUUUCUAAGGUUGACCUCGGAUCAGGUAGGGAUACCCGCUGAACUUAAGCAUAUCAAUA